AUUGAACGCUGGCGGCAGGCCUAACACAUGCAAGUCGAGCGAGUGGCGGACGGGUGAGUAAUGUAUGGGGAUCUGCCCGAUAGAGGGGGAUAACUACUGGAAACGGUGGCUAAUACCGCAUACUAUAGGAUGAACCCAUAUGGGAUUAGCUAGUAGGUGGGGUAAAGGCUCACCUAGGCGACGAUCUCUAGCUGGUCUGAGAGGAUGAUCAGCCAAACUGGGACGGAGACACGGCCCAGACUCCUACGGGAGGCAGCAGUGGGAAUUAUUGCACAAUGGGCGAAAGCCUGAUGCAGACAUGCCGCGUGUGUGAAGAAGGCCUUCGGGUUGUAAAGCACUGUCAGCGAGGAGGCGUUACUCGCAGAAGAAGCACCGGCUAACUCCGUGCCAGCAGCCGCGGUAAUAC
rnacentral:rRNA from 1 species